AACAGCUAAAAAAAAAUCCUCCUCCUCGAAAACUCGUUUGUGUGUGUGUGUGUGUGUGUGUGUGUGAGUAUAUGUUGUAGUUAUGUUUGGGUGGAACCGAAAAGGAAAUCUUGUCAACUCGAUGAUGAUUGGUCGGUUUGCCAUACAAUCUGUAGAGAACGUGAUUAAGGUGGGCAACAUAUUGUACAUUUAGCUAAGCAAUUGUUCUGUCACAAGGUAUUGUUUUCACUGGGAGGGAACUUAGAUGCGUGAUUCGCUUCAGUUAUAUCUGCUACCUUUGCUGUUCUUUCAGCGACCUCAUUUUCGUGCUUUGGUAUUAAUAAUAUUGGUCAGAACUCGAUUAAAUUUCCUUUGAAGGAAAUUAAACGUUUGCCGCACAAAAAUCUCCGAAAAAAAAAAGAAAUUGAUGACGCAAAGGUCGGAAAACAAUUUUUUAAAGCAAAAAAAAAAGAAAGAAAGAAACAUAACAAGGGAAGGAAGAGAUUAAGACGUAUUUAGACUGUUAAAUAAUUGACUUAUCUGUGUUUUUCUACGCAUCCGGUAACGUUCGGAUACGCAAAAGACGGCGAAACUUAUGAAUAAAUUAUAAAAUUUUUGCCACCUGCACUGUUUUUCUUUAAGAAAAUUUGCCGACAUCAGCGUCAAGUCGUUAGAGAGUUUUUGCAUAAAUUGGAUGUAUUGGUUAGUUCCAAGGACGUUAUUCCUGUGUACUGGAUACCCACACUAACCCAACUAGCACAAAAAAGGUUGGCGAUUUGAUGACCCCUCGCUGCUUUUAUCCCGUCCACCAUCUGAGUGAUUAAUUGCAGUCAUGUUAUGUUUGAUGACUGUAAACCUCCUCGUGUCAUAGAGAGAAAAAUGGCAUUUUUUGGUGCAUUGUGUCUUUAUUGUCAAAUUAUCGCUGGAUUCCGUUUUGUUUCGAAGUCACGUACCAAUCUAAAUAUAGGAGACGAUAAAAAAAGAAAAAAAAAGAUUUAUAAACUCGUUUCUUCCAUCAUCUACCAGUGAUUUACUUAAGGUGUUUUUAUUAACUUUAUAUAUGUUUACGUUAAAAAGGUGAAAAACAUAUACGUGUACUUAAGAAACAUUUUCUUUUGUCUUUUUUCACUUAGUGAAAAUAAAAAAAAAACAACUCUGCAAACGAUAAUUAACCUUCUUUGAUUAAGUAGUUGUAGAUUAAUUGGUUUUAUAUAUAUAUAGAUAUAUACACACAAACAGAGAAAAUGGACUUCUUUGACCCUGUUAAUGCGAAAGAAAUAAUGAAAUUUGAGAAAUAGGCCAAACUCGCAAUAAAAUUUUUAUUAAUCAAUAAAAUUUAUUGAACUAUUUAGCAGAAAACACAUUGUAUCUUAAUUGAAAAUAUCAGUGUUGUUUAGCUGAACUGAUAAAAAUUGCACCACUCGUACACGAACGAAAUGUUCGUGUAUAUAUAUACACGAACGUUUCGUUCCAAACCGAUAUUUAGUCAUUCAGACAUCAUUACCGAGCUAUUAAUGUCACUGGAAAGAGGAGUGUAUAAAACUAUUUUCACCGACUGUCUUCUGUAUUUGUCUUUUAUUGCGUCAUAGUCAAAAUUAGAACAGGACAACCUCUCUUAGUGUUUGCGGUUAUCGAAAAUCGGAAAGAAGAGCCGCCAUUUUGUAAAGAUAACAUCAGAAGCGGAUGUCUUAAGAAUGCAGUCGGAAUAUCGCAAAUACUUAUUUAAUUUUAUCUCGUUUUUCUCAUUUUUUUUUUUUUUUUUUUUUUUUACUCUGUAACGAAUAAUGUUUAAUUGCUCGAUUUGCCGGAUUCGAAUCUCGUGUCCGUUAUCGAAACGAUCGCCAUUUUUGUUUUUUUUUCGUAUUCGAUUCAUUAACGACGGUCGACACGUACGCUAUGCUAGAAAUGCUGAUAUCUGUUCGAUCUCUAUAGUGUGUUGUUUGUCGGGGGAUAGGGAACGUACUGUUUGGUAUAUAUCUCAAUGCACCUGGUGAUGUGCCGUUUGAUUGUGUAUGCCGAAGAUAAAAGCACAACGUAUUGUCAUAGAAGGCUUAUAAAUAACUCCCUGCGAGACACGCUGUGACGAGUGGGAGAAAAAGUUUCUCGAACGAUGACUGGCUAUACAUCUCUUCAAGUAUGUCUCGUUGCCAACUGUUUGUGUGUUACUUGCAUUACUAUCGGUCAGAGAUCUGGUUGUAACUCUUAAAAAGAUUUCUUUGUAAACAAAAAUGUCUGGACUCGCAUAACAGAAAUCAAACCGCGCUUUGUUUUCUGUAUAUAUAAAUAUAUACAUAAACAUCUACACAACUGCAGUAAAAACUUCUGUAUAUUAACUAAUAAAUGUUUCAGGUGAUCACUUAAAUAUUUAUAUUGGCAUAAUUAUGCAUUUAAAGUCUUAAAACAGCGGUUUAGAAUUGAUUAAAAACGGUUAUCGCCAUUUUUACAUCUCUCUCACGUAUUUUUUCGACCUCUUCUACCUUUAAAAGAAUUAAUUCUCACGUUGCUUCACGUCGUAAAAAAAAGAAAGAAAAAAAAAAAGUCCACUUAUUCUUAUAAUAUCACCAAUUGUGUCUCGUCUUAGUU
rnacentral:lncRNA from 1 species